GGGGGUAUAGUUCAGUGAUAGAGCAUUCGACUGCAGGUCGAGAGGUCCUCGGUUUAAAUCUGGGUGUCCUCU
rnacentral:tRNA from 1 species